rnacentral:lncRNA from 13 species
AAUUCUUAUAAGACAGAACAUGGACACAAUGCAAUUGGGAUCAAGAAGAAGGUUCAGAUAUGUUGUAGGACAGCUGCAUUUGAAGUGAACAUUUAACCUACAUAGCAGUCAAAACAAACAGACAUAUUAGCAUACAAAUGUGUGCAAAUGAUCUUUUCAGACCUUCUCAGAAAUUAAUCAAGUCCACGGAAUGGAUAUAGACAAAAAGAGAAUUCAAGGACUAGCAGAGGUAGAGAGGCGAGACAGGGGUGAGGACAUCAUCCUGCUAUUUUGACAGUCCCUGAAGGACAAUACAGAAGAGGACUGGAGACCACAGCAGCGAUUCUGCUCUUGCCCUACCUCUUCAAUGAGGACCCGAGUGGCCUUUAUGUCCGUGACAAGAUUUCACCGCUCUUCACUCCUUUACUGCACAUCGGCGGAAAUCCAUUUCACCACGAGAGUGAAAUCCCGCUGGCCUUUGAUGGGGAGAACAUCCACACCCUCGAGGACGUCCCCAUGGGGCUCUGCUAGGGCUGUAUUUUUUAUUUUCCAUAAAAUUUCCCAAAAAUGUCAGAAAAACACUUAUGUUGUUAAGUUACUGUGUUCUGGGGAGAAGGGAAGUUGGGGUGAAGUUACCAGGGCCGGUUAUAAAGAUGGCAAACUUCCUAACAUAACUAAGUGGAUACAAUAUACACACUAAAGCUGAAAAAUCUGUAUUUAGCAUCAAGUCUACAAUAUUGUUAGUUUACCUAUGAUUCAUUUUUAAUGUAUGUUGUUUUUAUUGUACAUCAUUAUUUAUAUAUAUAUUUUUAAAUGUCAUGAAAAGAACUAUACAAAGUAAAUGUAUUAUUUAUUGCAGAACAUGUCUGCAGAAAUGUUGCAAUUUUGUAAUGUGUUUUGUUUGGUAAAUUGUUUUGUAAAUAUAAAUUCACAUUUGUGGUGCCACUAAAAAAACAAUGAAUUAUUUAAAUCAAUAUUGUCAAUAUUGUUAUUCAAAUAUUUUUUUUAUAAUGGAGGGAGGGUGGACAGGGAGUUUAAAAAAUGAACCCCAAAAGGUUGUUAGAGGAACCAACCAUAGAAAAGGUUCUUCAAAUAACUUUUAGGGGUUUCCCCCACAGUUUCAAUUUGAAGAACCCCUACAGGAUACUCCAGAAACCUUUACUUUUUAGAAUGUAUAUUGAUAAAAGUCACCUUGUCCGAGAGACAUUUACAUAGUUAUACACAGCCUAUUUUGGGGCGAAAUAGCGGCCACAACAGACAGACCUGAUAUCGCCCAUAAUUCGACGUCACGCGCUGAGUGGAAAUUAACAAAGUUAUUCUAUUUAGCUACACUUUGCAGUACAUUUUUACACGAUAAUAAAUGUUUCUGAUGCCACAUCGCCCGUUUUCAAAGGGAGUCAUUGGUUUUUAGGGGCAGUCGCUUUUUAGCUUUUUGUCUGAAAGUAUUUUCUCAACUGCGAUACCAACUCCAGUCAGCAGAUGGCGAUGUGCGUCUUUCAGGUGAUUCUGACACUGAGACAUAUAAUCUAGUGGACGGGAUGCUUCUUCAACAUCAACAGUUAGUCAGCCACAUUGGUUCACUCUAACUUUAUGGAGAAAGGUUUAUACAAUAAAUAUAGUGUAACCGAUGUGAAAUGGCUAGCUAGUUAGCAUUUCAAUCGGUGACGUCACUCGCUCUGAGACCUUGAAGUAGUUGCUCUGCCAGGGCCGUGGCUUUUGUGGAGCGAUGUGUAACGAUGCCUUGAUGUUGGCUGUUGUCGAUGUGUGCAGAGGGUCCCUGGUUCGAGCCCAGGUAGGGGCGAGGAGAGGGGCGGAAGCUAUACUGUUACAAUAGCAACUCCUCUCAUGCUAUGAAGACACAUCCCCCCCCAAAUUUUAAGGCCUUAAGGGCAGUUUUGUUUCAAUUGUAGUACGGAGAAAAUCCAGUAAGCGUUUUAUAGUUACAUCGUUAGGGUAACUUACCCUAAAGUGGACACACUCCCAUCAGUUUCUAAGACAACUGCCCAGACUUUGUAGACUGUUUAAUGAUGCUUAAACCUCAUCUUUAUCAAAUUAUCCAUUAAAGAUACCAACUCAAAA